AAGUCGUAACAAGGUAACCGUAGGUGAACCUGCGGUUGGAUCAUUAUUGAUACAACGGUCUUGGAGUCCUCUUCGGAGUUGAUUCCUCGACCUUACCCACCCCAUGUGCAUUGUAAACGUAUUUUGGGACUCUUACUUGCUAAGAGUCCCAGCAGUAUAAACACUUUUUAAUUUGUCUGAAAUGAAAGCAAGAAUCGUAACAACUUUUGACAACGGAUCUCUUGGCUCUCGCAACGAUGAAGAACGCAGCGAAAUGCGAUACGUGAUGUGAAUUGCAGAAUCUCGUGAAUCAUCUAAUCUUUGAACGCACAUUGCACUCUAGCUUGCUAGAGUAUGCCUGUUUGAGAAUCUAAUGUAUUCAUUUCCCUUUGUGCUUACAUUAGUGAGUGCAGAGAGAAGAUCUGGGGCAGCUUUUUUAAGUGCCCUGAAUUUCAUUAGUCUACACCUAGUUGCGUAAUGACGGCCUGCAAGGCUGCCGAAAGGUAUAUGUAUGGAACCCUGGUUUCUUAUUGUGCCCGGUAAGUAGCAGUAGCGCCCAGUGCAGCAAAGUGUGGAUCCACCACAGAGAUAUUAUCACUCGAUAAUGUCUGAACCAUGGUCUCAAAUCAGGUAGGACUACCCGCUGAACUUAAGCAUAUCAAUAAGCGGAGGAAAAGAAACUAACAAGGAUUCCCCUAGUAACGGCGAGUGAAGCGGGAAUAGCUCAAAUUUGGAAUCUCUCCGGAGAAUUGUAGUUUAGAGAAGCGUUUUCGGGGUAGCCCUGUGGUACAAGUCCUUUGGAACAAGGCAUCAUAGAGGGUGAAAAUCCCGUCUUUGACCAUGGGCGCUACUCCAUAUGAUGCGUUUUCCAAGAGUCGGUUUGUUUGGGAAUGCAGACCAAAAUGGGUGGUAAAUACCAUCUAAAGCUAAAUAUUGGCGAGAGACCGAUAGCGAACAAGUACCGUGAGGGAAAGAUGAAAAGAACUUUGAAAAGAGAGUUAAAUAGUACGUGAAAUUGUCAAAAGGGAAACGUUUGGAACCAGUAUUGUAUGUGCGAAUUUAGCUGUGAUUUAUUGCAGUGUCCUUUUGCACAACAGGUCAACCUCAGUUUGGAUCGCGGUAAAAUGCCAGCAGAAGGUGUCCCUGCGGGGAGUUAUUAGCUGCUGGUUCUGCCGCGGACUGGACUGAGGACAGCGGCUUGCCGAGGAUGUUGACGAAAUGGUUCCAAGCGACC
rnacentral:rRNA from 1 species